GAUGAAGAACGUAGCGAAAUGCGAUAAGUAGUGUGAAUUGCAGAAUUCAGUGAAUCAUCGAAUCUUUGAACGCACAUUGCGCCCUUUGGUAUUCCUUAGGGCAUGCCUGUUCGAGCGUCAUUUGAAACCUCAAGCUCAGCUUGGUGUUGGGUGUCUGUCCCCGCCUCCGCGGGGACUCGCCUCAAAAUCAUUGGCGGCCGGUACGUUGGCUUCGAGCGCAGCAGAAACGCGAACUCGAGGCCCGGCGGAUCGGCGACCAGAAGUCUCUUCUUCACAGUUUGACCUCGGAUCAGGUAGGGAUACCCGCUGAACUUAAGCAUAUCAAUAAGCGAGGA
rnacentral:misc_RNA from 1 species